CUUUUUUAUGAAUGGGAGGGAAGGGAGCUCCAGUGCGCACGCGCGCAGUCCGCGAUUCUAUGAAUGGGUGGGCACAAGAGACCCCGCGCGCGCAUGCGCUGCGCUCCUUUUUUUAUGAAUGGGGGGCCGGAAAAGAACUUAACCCGUGAUUGCUGGGGCUGGCUCUGGCUCCUUAAGGGGCCGUAGUUCUUUUACAAAGAGGGGUGGAGGUUCGGGCGGAGGUUGUUGUUGGUUUUUUUUUUUUUUUUGAAUGAAUGGAGGGCGGCGGCGACUGCUGCAGCUGGUUCAGCUGCGCGGGCUUUACCCCCUCCCAGCCUGCAAGAGGAGGUAUCAGAGCCUUCACCGGACACUGGCUUAAGGAGCAUCCGUCCAUCGAAGGCCGACGGCCGGUGGCUGCCAUAAUCGACUUUCCCAAACCCCCUUCCAUCACCGCCUCCCCCUCCAGCUCCCCUAAAGGGAAGCGGGAGAAGCAGAGAACUGGCCAGGGCCUGCCAGAUUGCCAAGAUGUCGGGCCCAUCCUGCCUCCCUGACUUGGAGGCACACUGUCCACGCUCUUGCCUUACAAACAGCCCAGAGAGUGUUUGUUCCUGUGCAGGAGAGGCCCGUGAAAGAAGCUACCUUUAAUUCUUCCUGAGAGAUGUUUUCAGGUCCUUCUUGGAGGAGACUGUUCUGCACUUGGCAUUAUAAACAGACACAUGUCACUUGCCUUCUGGAUUUCUGGACCAAAGUUCUGACCACAAAGCCCUGUUUCUCUUCAGGACGUGGAUGGUUACAUUCUCUUUCUCAGACUCCAGAACAGGACUUAGGGAAAUGAGAGCCUUUGAACACUAGUGCCAUUCCCAACAUCCACCACUGCUACAGCAUGGCCAUCGAGAAGCACCUGGGACAUUUUUUCUUCUCCCAUGAGCUUUGUUGUAUCGUUUGGAGCCAGCAACUCUCAAAUCCACCUUCUGUAACCCAGAAAUGUCAUAGGACACUGGACAAUUGGAGAAGAGACAGCUGACCAGAACAACUUCUAGUAAUAGAAGCCCCUGGUGAUCAGAUGAUGCAUGCGAGCAGUGGCAGCGUUUUGCAAAAGGAGACCGCGUAAAUUUAAGCCUCACCUUGAGCCCCAAGGAAUGGAGCCAGCCUUCUCUAUGGACUAAGACCUCUGAAACGCCAGCAGAGAUCCACAAAGAACUCUGUUCCAGAGCAGCAGGAGCUAGAGCAGCACGUGGCCCCUCUGUGAGCCGGCAGGGACUCCCUGUUGCCAUCCACACUGAUUCGGUCAUUUAUGUCGACGGACUCCCUCAGAUAUUGGAGUUUGUGACCCCACACUUACAGGAAAAAAAUGAACAACAUUAUGGUGUGGGACCAACUGGGGGCUGCGGAGUGUGUCACGCGGAGCCCGGUUUAGUUGCCAUAGCUGAAUGGAUGAAUGACUCUGUUCCAACAAUGCAGCAGGGUCGUUCUGGCGACUGUAUCUCUGGAAGGCCACAGAUGAUGUCUAUUAUGUCCCCAGGCAUCAGCCAUUACCUUGGAAACAGGCCAUCCUGACAGCAUGUCAAGGAAGUUGUUAUAGGGAAUUAUUUCAGCCAGAAGAGAUCUCUGCAAAGCAAUCUGUUCCAGCCUACUGUGUCAUGGAGUGGUCCCCAUGUCCCCGAUUUUUUUUUUUUUUUUUUUUUAAUGCUGGAAAUACAGCAGCAGCCAGCAUGAAGCCUACACCUGUCAUGAGCUAAUGUUCGAUUCCUGCCAAGGUUUGCACUUGGGUUCCAUUAACAGGGCAGAAAGGACCAUCCCGGGAAGCACGUUAAUAUUUAACCCUUUACCCGCAUAUUUUCUCUCUGUGGGAGAAACCUGCCACUCGCCAAACCACCACCAACCGGCAGUUUGGAAUUUCGCUUCUGUUUUUUAAACUCUUUCUUUCUUUCUUUCUUUCUUUCUUUCUUUCUUUCUUUCUUUCUUUCUUUCUUUCUUUCUUUCUUUUCUUUCUUUCUUUCUUUCUUUCUUUCUUUCUUUCUUUUCUUUCUUUCUUUCUUUCUUUCUUUCUUUUUUUGUUUUGGAGGCAGACUAGAGAAAGGAAAAUGAAUAGAAACUGGGCUUCAAGUGCAAGAGCCAUACACCUUUUUUUUUUUUUUUUUUGAAAAAAAUCAAGGAAGAGUGAAGCGGAGCUUGGCUGGAGAGUGUUCAUUGGCAGAAAUGAUAUGAAGCUGAGACAAGAACCAAACCUCAUUAGUGUCAAAUGUCUCCUUCCUUUCCAGCUGCAGCCAGAGCAGAACCUAAGGAUGUGUGGUUGGGAGUCAGCAGCUCCAAGCCUCAGAACAGCAAUCCGGUUUCUAUGUCUUCCAAGGGGUGGGGACCGUUUUUCAGAUGGGGAUUUAUUUUUCACUCUGUGCUUUUCUACAGUGAGUUUUGGGAUACUCCUCCUCAUUCCUAGCCUCUGUGGACUUGAGAAUGCUCCAGUCAGGACUGGAAUAACUGAAGAGAGAUAAAUGGCCCAAAGGAUGAUGGGGAGGAGUGGAGCCCCAGAUGAAGAGGCUGAGGGUCUAGGAGGCCUGACCGCAGUUCUGCUUUUCUGAAGAGGCCUUGACCUCAGGCGGAAAAAAGCUGUAUCUGUGGAACAUACACUCCAGUGGGAAGGGAGACAGGCAGUAAAAAUCAACGCAUAUUCUGUCCAGCGAGGAUCCCCUGAAGGAGGUGGUCCCUACUCCAGGUGACAGAUGACGAGCUGGAGCUUUGGCUAGAGCAUCUGCUUGCACUCCAAGUUAUAAGAAGAGGCGACACCAUGGCCAGAACGAGGCUCGAGUCUCCCAAGGAUCCUGCGAUUUCCUCUCUUUCACACAACCUCUUGAGCUCCAAUUAUGGGAUGGGCUGAUCCAAAUCCAGCCAUACUCUCCAGCUUCUCAUGACCCUGCAAUUCAAGGUUUCCCAGAAGAGCUGGCUUUACCCCAAGGAGCAUGUCACCAAGGCUGUCCUUCCUCUCCCAUUCUGGAUAUCAGAGCCUCCUCCAUUGAUUCAGAAAACUGAUAAGACUUACUAGAGACAUUUAAAGCCAGGGUCAAUAAAAGCUUGUUUUCCUCUUGUGUGGGCCGAUCACAUGAAUAAAUUGUAUAUCAUGCCCAACACAAUGGACUACAAUCUUAGUCCAUUUACUUGCAGGAAAUGCUGCUUGUAUUUAAUGAACUAGAUUUUUUUUUCCUUGUGGAUUACUCUGGUACUUAUUUUCCACUGAGAAUAAAGCAUGCAGGAAGUCCAUUUGAAAAAAAAAAAAAA